UACGGAGGGUGCGAGCGUUGUCCGGAAUCACUGGGCGUAAAGGGCGCGUAGGCGGCAGGCCAAGCGUGCGGUGAAAGCCCGGGGCUCAACCCCGGGUCGGCCGUGCCGACUGUUAGACUAGAGUGCUGUAGGGGCAGGCGGAAUUCCGGGUGUAGCGGUGGAAUGCGUAGAGAUCCGGAAGAACACCGGUGGCGAAGGCGGCCUGCUGGGCAGUGGCUGACGCUGAGGCGCGACAGCGUGGGGAGCAAACAGG
rnacentral:rRNA from 1 species